AUGCUCAUAACCUCUUCAACACGCAUCAAGCCAGCAGAUCCUAGCCACUUCACUUUAACACGACUUUCACGUUUUCCCUCUGCCUCACUUCCAACUGUGUGUGAUACUCCCUCCAACUCAGUUCUGUUUUACAACUCCUCCCUUCGUCCAAGCUUCGACAUUCAGCAAACUGUUCGGUUUCCAAGAACUAUUUCAAGCAUUCAUUCUCGCAUAGCGCAUCUCUGCUUUUUCUUCAUUCCCUUUUUAUUGUAUUUUAUUUUACUAUUUCGAUUUAAUAUUUAG